UAAGCGAGGUAAAAUAUUAUCGAUGAACGUAAGCGGGAUGAAAUCUAAAAAAGACGUUUCGUUCGUUAUUUAAAAGAAAUAAAAGUAUGUCCGGUUGGGGAAAAUUUAAAAUAUAAUUCCGAAGAGGAGACGAAGCUGGGGCACAACUAUCCAAAUCCAACUACCGAAAGCAAUGGAUCCAAGGUUAUCAAAAAGAAAAAGCACCCCAAAUUAGGCGGAGUCAGGUCGAGCGAACCGAAACGCAAACUUGACAACGAAGAGGGGGGAUCACUACACACCGUCGAGUUUACUAAGAAUAGCUAACGCAGCCGGCACUAUUUGACAGUAUGGAACGGUAGGAAGAGAAAGAAUAGGUAGGGUUGUACUGACUGACUGAUUCACUGGCAAAAGACUAAGUAAAGAAGAGACAGACAGAUAAGAAAGGGAGGUAGGUGAUGGAUGGUUAAUUAAGAGGCCAAAAAGAAAAAUAAAAACCUCAACAAAGAAACUUUAUAAGGGGGGGAUAGAAAUUGAAAUAGAAAAUUAAGUUGGCAACUAAAAAUAAAAAGAGCCAAACAAACGACAAACGUACACUACAAAGAAAAUGUCUUUCGACAAAUGGGAUAGCAGUUUGUUGGUGGUUAAUGACUUUGCUAUGGAAAAAAAUAAAAACACAAAGCAACGAACUCAAGAUGCAACAAGCAAAUUGUCGAUGUGUAUGUGUGUGUGUUUUUUUCUUUCGUUUAGAAGAUGAA